rnacentral:lncRNA from 1 species
CUAGUUAUUAAAUUUUGGUUAGUAGUAAGUUUAUAAUUUUCAUUAUUAUAUUGCAAAGACAAAUUCUGAAGGAAUAGUUUAAGUUCAAGCUGGUCGGAGAACGGAGCAGAGAGAGACGAACGGCACGAGCCGAUCGCAGAACGGAGCAGAGAGAGACCAACGGCACGAGCUAGAAAACAGAGCCAGCAGCAGAGCAGGGCGCCGGCAGCAGCCCGAGAGCGGCCAACAGCAGAAAAAGCCACGGGCGUUGGCAGCAACGACAGCAGCGGCAGCGCAGCCUGGACAAGGGUCCGAGGGUAAGGGCUCGCGAUCGCAAUGCAGAGCUCGCCGCUGGGAAAAAGGUUUCGGACACCGGGAGAACAAGUCGAUAUCGCUGCGGCGACAACAGUGGAACAAGUGAAAAGUGCGCCGUGACCGACACACACCCACCACGUGCCCACGAGAGGCUCAAGACCUCAGACAAAGACCCAUAAGCUCGAGAGGAUCGGGUAAGCGAGGCUGUGGGCCUUAUCCCGUUUGGUACGACUUAGUUUGGUGCGAAUUAGGUAGGGACACAGGCGAUAAGACAGGAAGAAAAGAAGACAAGAAAUAUGAAAUGAAGACAAAGAUAAAAUAAAUAAAAG